CCCUGCUACCUUAACUUUCCUGUGUUAAGACUAAGAAAAAGGAAAUGGGUCAUUUCACUUCAUUGCAAAAUGGUACUUACUGGAUUGUUUUACUUAAAAUAGAACCUGUAGUUUAAUGAGUCUCUAAUUCUGAUAACCUUGUAUGCUUUUUAAGUUUGUGCAGGCUUAUGUUACACCAAUUACAUUUAAACUGCUACAUACACUUUUAAAAGUAUAUUUGGUUCAUAUAUCAUCUACUGCCUAUUUUUAGUUGUGUGUUCUCACUCUGUCUUGAUUUCAGAGAACUCUGAUAUAUUUGUAUGAUUUACCAAAUCUCCAAUAAUCUGCACUUUGAGUGAACCCAUCCAUCACAGCAGAUGUCCUUUCAAAAUUGUAUUGACUUGCAACUAUCCGUACCCAGCUUUGUUUGUAAAUCAUCACUAACAUUUUUAAUAAGUUUUAAUUUUUCAUGAACUGUUUUUAGUGGCCAUCUAGGAUUUCAAAUAAUGUAGAGGGAACAAACGAGUUAUGACGUGAUUCUCAGGGCUAAGAAAGAAAACAGAUGCUUUUCAAGUUUCUAUCUAUGGUGUGAUCUCAAGCCCAGUCAUAAGAGCCUGAAUCUUUACAAAAUGUUUCUAAAAUUAAGUACUCACAUAAUGUGCUGUACUUUUUGUAUUGUGGCUCUCAUCACGCUUUAGUCUACUGGCUUGAUAAUUGUUGGUCUGUGUAGGAGACUACAAUCUGUGACCUCAGACAGGUCCACCUUUUUACUGGUCUGUCAUUUGUAUCUCUGUCGAGCACCUUGCAGGUACAAAACAAAUUUUGUUGAAUUAGUGAGGAUUACUUUGACUAGUAGGAGUAUUUCACCCAUUUCCUUUGCAUGUUGGCUGCGACAUAAUGUUAUUUAAGUGGUAACUUAUUUAGUAAUUGAAAAUAAUACUUUGUGUGCAUGCAUUCAGACUUAUUUCUUGAAUUAUCUAAAAAGGGUCUGAAAAUAUCUAGAGUGUCCAAAGGACAGAGCUAGCUCUACUGUCAGGUGGAUUGCUCAAUGGAAAGCCUGCAUCAAUAAGUUUCUAAGACCCUUUAUGACACCUGGUGGUACAUGCAAUUCAGAUUAUAUGCAAAAUCUAUUCUAUAUAUUAUAUUUAAAUUUAUUUGUCUAAAAAUGAUACUAUUUAAUAUUAAGAUUAAUAGUACAUGCAUGUAACUCACAAAAAAUAUGAUAAUUGAGGGAACAUUCCAUUUUUUGAGACAAAUACAAGUAUGUGAUUUUUCAAAAAUUUAUUAUUAUACAAGACCACCAUCAAUACGUAUGUAGAACACCACGGUAAUGUAAAAUACAAAAUGGUGAUGCAUGAACAUGUUUCCUCUUCAUUGACAUAAAUGCAGAUGGUGUAAACCAUACCCUUUAACUCUGCACAUGUUUUAAGCUAACUUUUAGAGAUCACAUUUGUAGGAAAAUUCUAGAAACCAUAAUAAAUGACAGAUUCAGACAGGAACAGAACAGAGGAACCCACAGUACAGGUGGUGUGGAGAACCAAUGAAAAAGUGAGAUUUCCCAAUAAAACUCUGGAAAAUUCCCUUUAGCUGGCAGUGACAAGAGCUUAGAUAUUGCUAAAUGGAGCCAGAGAGGCCAGCUGGAGUUUGGAGGUGAGUGGUUUCAACAGCAACAAAGGGAGCUAGAAGACUGGAGGCUUUAUCUUCAAGUAGUCAGGGAAAAUCAUUGUUUACCUAGAAUUGUAUACUUCUGAACCUUUAAAUAAGAAGAACAAACCAGAGGUUUCUGCAAAUAAAAAUGGAGAGCCUUUCACAUCAGCAGAUCUGCAUUAAAUACGAAGUGAUUUCGAAGGAAGGUCUAACAUGCAAGGAGGAAUCGUGAUUAAAUAAAAUAGAAAAUACCUGUGUGAUGAUAAGCAAACAUUUACCAUACUGAAAUAAUUACAUUUUAUAAUUGAUGCGGUUAAAGUAAGAGAAAUUCAUGUGGAAUAACAAGAGACUCCAAGUUGAGAAAUGACUAAAUAGCAUUAAAGCAUUCUGAGUUCCUUUUAUGAGGAGCAGUAUGAAAAGAUUAAUUAGCUUUAGUGUUUAAGUGAACAUACAUGUUAAAUUGUAUAAGAAAAGAGCUAAUAGAAUAGAAACAAUGUUUAAACACCACAGUGUGGAGCGAUUUUAAAUACAGUGAUUUACUAUUUAGUUAAACAUGCAAAAUUUUAAUACUGACAGUAGAGGGCAGGGUAUCCUUGAUACUGUGUUGAUAGUUUCUUGACAUUGCAAAGCAUAUCUAAUGUUAUCCCUGAAAUUGUAUAUUUCUUGUGUUGAGCCAGAUAUUAGAGAUAUUAUGUUUAAACAUGAUUAACUUUUUAUUAAAAACAGAAAUCUUGACAGGACUUGUGUCAUAUUAGGACAUAGCUUUUAGGCAAGGAAAUGUUGUAUAUAUUAUUAGUCUUUGGAUUCAGGAAAUCUAUGGAGUUUUGCUAAUGCAUUUUGAAAGUCACUUCUUUUUUCCUUGAAAAUAAUUUUGAAGUUUCUUGGCUAAAAAAGAGAAAAAGAAAAAAGGAUGGUGAGUGCCCCAUUUUCCCAGGUUAAAGAUAAUCCCUAAAUAAUGGCCAACAUUAUUUCUGGAUGUGAUCCUCUGGUUACAUGGUUUUGUAUCCUGUAAAUAACUCAAAAAUUCUUUAGGAUUCUGAAUCCCUUGCAACACUUUUGUUGUUCAGUGCAGACAAAAUUUAGUCUUAUAUCCUGUCUUAAUUGUAUUAGCCUAUAGGAAACAUUGAAAUGCUUCUUUCUGAAUAAAUGAGGUUAUUUUUUGCUACUGCCAUCUAUAUAUCAUUAUAAUUAAAAGGUCCAGGCACAGAAUAUAACAGGAUUUUUACAUCCUCUAAUUAGUCAUUUAGGACAAUAGCCUAGGUUAUCCUGUGGUAACAGGUGACCCACAAUAUCAGUGACUAACAUGAACAAAAAUUUACUUCUCACUUAUUCUACAUAGUCUCCUGAGUUGGUCCCAGUGCUGCUCCAUGUUGUAUUCACUCUGGACCCCUGGUUGAUGGAGCCCUUAUCUGGAAUAUUCUGGUCUAGCACAGAAGUAAAAAGAAACUGGCAAACUGCAAUGGCCCUUAAAUUUCUACUUGCAAGUGGCACAUGCCACUUCUGCUCACUCUUCACAAGUCAUAUGACCAAGAUUGACAUCAGUGAAGUGAGGGAGUAUAAUCUUUCCCAAGAGAUGGGCUGCAAAUAUUUACAGAAAAUAACACAAUCUGCUACAGUGUCUUUACGAUAUUUCUUAGAAAUCUAGCUAAAAUUUUAGUCAAUUGGUUUGUGAAAACUACUUAAAUGACUUCUGUUCUAUAAAUGUUACUGUUAUUUACUCUUUAGUCUUAGAAAAAGUUUAGGAAUCUAGUAAAUGGAGCAUUUAGAAAUGUUGGUGAUUAUUGAUAGCAAGGAAAAAAGUUUUAUAGGUCUCGAAAAAUGAAAUGGUAAUAGGAUUAUGGGUUGACUUUGCUUUUUCACAGUGAUGGGCUGGCAAAGAUCUGGAACUCUGGGUGUCCUCUUUUCUAUGUUUCUGGUGAAAAUUAUAGGUCUGUAAAAGAUACAGGAAAAAAAAAGAUAUUUUUCUUUGUAAAAAUAAGUUGUAAGUCUUAGAAGCCUACCUUAAUGAAUAUAGUGUUUUAAAUCUACAAGGUAACUUCAUGAAUUUUUUCAUAUAAGUUUCACAAUAGCCCUGGUACAUUAGCAGGUGAUAUUAAUGCCAUUUUCCUGUGGAAGAUUCAGAUUUAGAGAGAAUUGGCUCAAGGUCAUUUGACUGGGCCACAAUAACAUUAAGACUGAGUUUAAAUUUCUGAUCUUCUUUUUCCUGCCCAUAGAUCAUGUAACUUCUCAAUUAUUUUAGCAGUCUUAUGUAACCUUGGUUCAUUCUGUAUUCAUGGAUGCGGCUGUCAAAUAAAUUCUGCUAAAGACCUACUAUUAAAAAAUCAAAAAGCUGGCACAACUUGUUGAUUAUUUUUCAAUGCUACUUCAUGAACUCAAGGAAAACUAAAUAUUGUUGAAAUAUUUUUUUCUCACAACUUUGAAUUUUAGGCAAUUUAAAAUGAGUACAACCAUAUUGCCCAAUGUUUUUAUACUUAUGAGACAAAUUCACCAAGUGACAAUAAUUUGGAAAUUAAGGAAAAAUAUUGAGAUCAUAGGACUUGUUAAACUAAAUAUUUCUAAAUUAAAAACGGGCCCAAUAUCAUCUCCUUCUUUCUCUCUCCAUUUUGGAAGGCUGAGUAUUGCCUUCUAAAUUUCAGGUCUGCACAUCUAUCCUGACAAGAAGGGGCUAAAUCCCAUUCUGUUAGAAAAGUUACCUACCUUAUUUAUGCCCCCUAGGAAUCCAUAACCGUUUGCCCACCAAAUCACUGUAAGUGACAAUUCACAUUAACUGGUAAGUUUCUUUAGAACUAGACUGUAUAGAGACCCAAAAGAAUAUUUGAGAAUGAGUGAGCCCAGACUAUGGAAGGAGAACCACAAUUAUUGCAUUUCCCCUAUUGUAUGACAGUUUAAUUAUUAAAGGCGUAGACUUAAGUUUGAAUCUUGCUUUCCUACUUUGUAGGUAGGUCAAGGGUUGGCAAACCAUGGCCAGUGAACCUGCCACCUGUUUGGGUAACACUGCCACGUUCACUGGUUUGAGUAUUCUCUCUGCAUGCUUUUGCACAAUGCAGCACAGUGGAAUGGUUGUGACUGAGACCUUACGGCAGCACAUCUGAUAUUUACUCGCUAGCCCUUUAAGAAGUGUGUCGACCUCUGUUCUAGAUGCAUGAUCUUGGCUAAGCUACCUAAAUUUCUGUGCCUCCCUUUUCUAAUUAUAAAAUGUGAAUAAUAGUCUUUACCAAGUUGGGUUUAUAUGAGGAUUCAAUGAGUCACUCUGUAUAAAAACUUAGCAUAGUGUUAGGAUGUAGAAGAAGAGCAUCAUAAAGACUGAUAAAGCCAUAAUCAUAUCUAGAAAAUAUAAAAUAACAUGCAUUUCCUGUUCACUCAGGAAAAAAUUGGUAAAAAAAAUCAUGUAAGAGAAUAAAUCUCUGGUUGUUUAGUGAAGGAUCUGGAUCCUUUUUGUGUUGUUUCAUUUCUGCUCAGUCUCUUUUCUGUGUCCCAUGUAAUUCUAGUCUCCUGCAGAUCUGUUCCGGACUGUCACUUCUUGUAGCCAGCCCUUCUUUAUUAUUUGUGGAAAAAUCUGCAUGUCUACAUCUGGAAUUGCUCAAAGGUCACUCAGACUCAGAUCUAUUCAACCUGCCCACAAAUAUAAGACAGAUGGAAAUAAAUAACCCACUAGAAAAUCCACUUGACGAUUCAGAUGAUUUCAUCUGAGCUCAGAUGAUCUCUGCUGGAUUUGUUCAGAUAGCUGCUGUCAGCUCCAUGUCAGCUAGGAGUCUUUCUGAUCUUGCUGGCCUUCCUCCUAUCUCUCAUGAUGGCCCUCGCCUGGAUAGAGUGCCUCAGCUCUGUUCCACACAGGUGUCAUCUUCCAGGAGGUCAGCUCAGGAAAGAAGUCUUUAGGCAGAGAGGAGCUCAAUGAAAGUGGAGCACCUUCUGCUCUUGGAACAUUCCAGUGAAGGAGAAAGAUGGAUCUGAGAACGCUGUCUGGGCUUGGUGCCAAGCGCUGGUAUUUCACAGCAGCGACCGCCUCACAGACGAGCUGUGGGAAGCAGGAGGGAGACUCUCUCUUAGGGUGGAGACACAGCUGGGCUGAACAAGAUUUGCUUCAAACGACAACAAGAGAGACAGAAAGUAUCUGGUUCAACCGCUGCCCAAGCAGGCAGGCACCAGAAGAGCUAGCAGCCAAUCCGGCCAUGCUCGAAGCCAGCUCUGCAGCUCAGCCAAUCAGUGACAUCACUGCAGUUUUAUUUGGAAUGCCCCUGGUGAUAUAAAGAUGGGAAAGAACAAUACCCACCCAGUGCUUCCCUUGAAGAAAUUCCAAUAUUCUGGAAAUCAGUCUACAGAUGCGCGGCUGGUGGUGUGGCUCCGACAGAGCAAGGGUUACAUCAAGGCUGUUCUCUGGACCGUGCAAACAGUCUAGACCAAUGACCUGCAGCAUCAUGCCCUUUGAAGAAGAGGCAAGUUCGGUCAUGAUGAAGAAAAAUCAAGGCGUACCCCUUUUAACAAUAGGGAGCAGCUCGAGGCUGCAAAGAGGUUAUUGAUCAUUAAAAUGGCAUUGUAAAGGGAUGACUCAGAAAUAACAGUAAGUCUUAAUUAUUUGAAAGACAUACUUUAAUGUUGUACUAAAACAUAUGACAGCAUAUUUGGCAUUUUUUCCCGUUCUAAUUUUGUGGGCUAGUAUAGGGCAUAGAAUGUGAACAGAAACCCCUAGACCUCAAAGUAUAUUUUUAUUUGAAGCCAAAAUAUUUUUAACUAAACUGUGCUAGUCAAUAAUUUUUGGAUUUGGCAAACUGUAGUACAGUCCUAUUUUUGAGAAAAGUCAACAAAGUGUUUCCCUUCUAAUUCAAUAUCCUUAUUUUCCCUGAAACAAUUUUUCCUUUUGGUGCAAAGGCUUAUGAACUUAGUGUUUUUACAGGAACAAUAAUACAUUGUUUCUUUUGCUAUGCUGAAAAUAAUUAAUGUUUAUGUUGGAUUUAAACUUUUGUCAGUCAGAAGAUCUACUGACUAAACCAGAUGAGAUAGAUAUGAUAAGAUUUCUUUCUUUAUUAGAGUUAGAUGAUCCCUGUUGGUAAUACACUUAUAUUUCAUGUUUAUAUAUUAUCAUUGCUUUUUUAAGCCAUGAAUCUUAAUAUGUUUCAUAUUUAUAAUAAGCUAUUUUGAUCAGCCAUAUGUUUUCUUCUGAAAUGGACAUAUAUCCUCACAAUAGACUAGAAGAAUAUUUUUUCUAGUGGUUAUUCAUUAGAAUAAUUUAAAAUAUCUGCUCUGGCUAAAUUAUUAACCAAUACUUUAACACAGUAUUAUUUUAAUGCAACAGAUUUACUUUCUCUCCUGACAUUAAAAUAUAUUUUUCUGUUUGUAACAUUUCUACCCAAAGACAGUUGGAGAAAAAAUGCACUUAACAAAGAUAGCCUCAGUAAUAAAACACAGAAAAACAACAUUAAAUGCAAAACAGUGGGUGAAUUUAAAUAUAUGUGUACACACACACACACAUAGAAAUGAAAUGGCUAAAUAGUAUUAUAUCAUUGCAUAUCUUAUAGAUAUGUAAUUAUGUAUCAUAUAAGUAUAUAAUGAUAUAGGAUAUAUUUAAAUACAUUAUAUAAGUACAUAUAAGUAAAUUAUAUAAGUAUAUAUAAAUAUUUAAAUAUAUGUGACUAUAUAGACAUAUAAUUAUAAAAGCAAUAUGUUGUAAAACUCAAAACAGACUCAUACUAACCUUUUCCUCCUCUUAGUCUCCAUCCCCCUCCCUGAGAUAGUCAAUGUCAAAGUGUGCUAUGUUCCCCUGUACCUCACUCAGGAGAGUUUCUCCAACCUCAGAAAGCACAGAUGCAUAUCUCUUUUGUCAGAAAGAAGUAGUUUUGUUUCUGAUAUAUUUUUUUUAUGACCAAAAUAUCAAGAACAUUGCUCUUCACCUUGUCUUUCAUAGCUAUCCCUUCAGGUUAAUAUGCAUAAUAUUCCAUAUUUUGCCACACUACUUGUAAUUAAAUCAAAAAUCUGGAUGUUCACCAUCCUUUUUUUAUGACAGCCAUAGAUGAGAAAAUACCUGUAUUGCCAUGAAUGGCAAAUCUCAGUGAUGUUUUCAUUCCAACUCUGAGAGGCAUGAAAAUGACUCCAGGGCCUAUGUUAGAACAGAUAUCAAGAUUUCUGAAGUGAAUAGUAACUCAGUAAACGUGAGUUCUUGUCCUGAUCUAUCUGUGAUGUGUUGUUAUCCAUCUCCAAUACUAUCUGAUCCUUAUUAUAGGAUACAUGCUGCUCUGAUGUAAGGGUUGCAUUCUUCAGACACCACAAUUGAUGAAAAAAAAGAAUCACAUUAUAAGAUUACGUGUUUCAGUAUAAAGGAAUGAGUUAGAGAAUGGAUUUGCUAUUUUACUACCAUCAGUGGUUAAAAUAUUCAGGAUUUUCUUUAAGAUUAGGUAAUAUGAAAGAGAGAAAAAUAAAUUAAGCCAUAGACUUUUACAAAUGAACAUAAUUCAAGGAAAAUAAACAUAGUGAAAACAUAGUUGAGGGUAAAUAACAUUACUUAAUGAAAACAUUAAGCGAUUUUGUUUAGAAUGACAUUGGUCAUUAGAAAGCUAUAGGUAUGUAUAAUAUAAACUAUUAUAACAUAUAUAUUCAUUAUUUAAAUAUAGUACAUGUAUACUGAUAUUUAUUAUAUAUUUAUAUAUUCUCUAUAUUAUAUAUCUUCCAUACUGAUAGAUGCAUCUGACUUUUGACCAUAGAAUAUUUGUAUUUUAUAAAAUUUAAAUCCUAACAUGACAGUAUGACAAACCUAGACUGAACUUUUAAAAAGGUUUUCAAAUUAAUAAGUUUUAAGUCUCUGUGUGAGAGUACGGUGUUUGCGUAUGUAUUCAUAGCAUUGAGCCUACAUUUGGAGUUAACACUGUGGAUCAGGCAGUUUUAGCCCAGCUGAAGUAUGAAGAGAAAAUUGACAAGAAUGAUUUAAUUCGGUCUACCAAUAUUUAUUGAACAUUUACUAUGAGCUACAUAGGCUUCUAAGUGGUGCACUUACAUAGAUGUAAGUCCUGACAAGCAUGGCUCUUAACAUUCUUGUGGCCAUGAUGGAGGCAGAGGAAGGGCAGACAUUAAACCAACGAUCAAACAGAUAAAAAAUAUCAUACUGUUUUGUGAUGAAUAAAGUUGAGUGGGAGACUUGGGGGAAGGUAUCCUCUCUUUGAGGCUGGGGAAGACUUUUCUGAGUUAGUAGCAUAUGAGAAGAGACUUGCUAUGCACUUGUCUAGGAAAGAGUAUCCCAGCAGAGGGAAGAACCCAAGUCAAGUUUCUAAGGAGAAAGUAUAUGGUACAUUAGAGCAAUACCCAAGUGUCCAAUAUGGUGGGGCAAGCCCAUGUAAAGUUCUUCUUGGUCAUGUUAAGAAUAUUGGAUUUUUUUUCUAAGUCAAAUGGGAAGCCAUCCAUCAGAGGCUAUUGAUCAGAGAUGUGAAUUGAUUUAGAUUUUUAAGAGUUCACUUUGUUGUGUAAAGAAUAGCCUGAGGGAGAAAGGGAAGAUCAGUUAAAUACUUAUGAUAGUACUUCAGAAGAGUAGACUUCUUUAGGCUAGGUGCUUUUAAAUAGAAUGAUUUAAAUCUGUUGCUUCUUUAGUCUAGUUUCCUGAGGACUGCUUUUUAACAAAGGGUUUAUUUGGUACACAAAUCAGUGUUGAUGGGUUUUUUAUUUUGUGUGUGUGUGUGUGUGUGUGUGUGUGUGUGUGCAUUUUGUUUUGUUCUUUUCGGUGUUAUGUUCUUUUUAGCCUGAUGAGUAGUGCUAAUUUUAACUUAAGUUUCAAAUACUGAUUGAUAUUUAUAACAUACACCUUUAAUGUGGUUACAAAAUAAACAAAAACAGACCAUUAAGCCAAAUGAAGAAAUAAUAUAGAUAAAAUGUUCCAGUUUUCUGAGCUAGGUCUGAUAACCCAAUUUAUAUACUUUAGAAAUUUUACCUAUCUUGUGUGUAAAUGAACUGGAUAAUUGCAACAUAUUCCAUAUUUUUUCCAUUAAGGUAGAAGAAAAAAGUGGAAUUUAUAUUUGUAAUCAUAGAAGGUGUUAGUAAUACUCUGGAACGUAAAGCAACUUCGUGAGUGCUUGUCUUUCAGUAAACAUUUACAAUUUAAUGAUAAAUACAUUUGCAUAUUUAAGGCCAAAUUUGAAAUAGUCUGAUGUGAUGCUGCAAUUCCUUCUGGUCUCAGCUAAAUUGCAUGUGAUUAACUAAUAAAAGUUGACACUGAACUCAUUUUGGAUUUUAAAUGUAAAACAUAUGUGGCAAAAGCUGGUUUCACAUAUGUGAAACACCUCAAAGCUGUAUAUAUCAAUAUUUAUUUAGGUCCACUUUCAUAAGUCUUUGCGUAAUGAUCCUAAAAUUAAAUUAGUGGCCUUUAGAAAGUUACUAUGACAAUGUCCAAACAGAAUUGAGAUCUCACAAAUAAAAUCCUGAGUUAAGGCCUCUUUGCCAUCAACCUAGCACUAAAGUGUCUUCUGAAAGAUGUCACCAUGAAAAAAAAAAAGAAAGAAAGAUAUCAACAUGGAGAGAUGUUUGUUUGGCCUUUCAUCCUGCUACCAAACGAAUGUACACAGUUCAGCUGAUGUCUUAGAAGCUGUUACAUUGUGCACGCAGAGACAAGGGUUCUGCUUUUCUUGCUAACCAGUAUAAAUUGCUGUUGUUUAAUCUCUAGAUCUGGCCCUGGAAGAGGUUAUGGUCAUGAGUACUUAUCUGGGAGAGGAAAAGACAGAGUCAGGGUGGGAGAGGGGGACAGAGAGAAGGAAGGCAAGGGCUCAAGAGAACCACAGAUGGGAGGAAAGGGUCUACCUCUGUGCCGGGGAGUCUCAGAUUGUGAACAUUGAUCUCAUGGUGCGGGUAAAUCCAGGGAUGAAAUAGAACUAUUUUUCUUACUACAUACAUAGUACGUAAAUGCAAACUAACUAUAGUAUUCUGGAUAACCAAAGAAGCCACAUUUAAAAAGAAAAGUAAAGGGGUGCCUGGGUGGCUCAGUCGGUGAAGCAUCUGACUUAGGCUCAGGUCAUGAUCUCACGGUUUGUGAGUUUGAGCCCCGCAUUGGGCUCUGUGUUGACAUCUCAGAGCCUGGAGCCUGCUUCAGAUUCUGUGUCUUCCUCUUUCUCUUUCCCUUCCUUGCUCUCUCUGUGUCUCUGUCUCUCUCUCUCAAAAAUAAAUAAACAUUAAAAAAUUUAAAAAAUAGUCUAAAAAUAGUCUACCUUUUUUAGACUGAAUGAAACACCUCUGCUUGGUCUUCAAGUUGGCCCCUUCCCUAGAGAUUUUGCCAGUGGUAAAACUUAACGAGUCUUGAUUUUUACUACAUUUGGUUGCUUAAAACCUUACCAGCUCCCAGUGGAUGCAGCUUCACCUGCUGGGAAAUGAGAGCCACACCACUGAAACUGUGGUCCAUUGGCCAGAUCCUUCUGAGAAUGGUUUGAUACCACUUAGAAAACACAGAAGUUUGAAAAUUAAGAGCAAGCAUUUAAAAAUUUUUAUAAAACUUUAACAGUCAUUUUGUGCCUGUUGACUCAAUAAAAUAUGGCUGUGUUAAUUUUUUUUUUAUUUCUUUAGCUAUUUAUUGUUAGUGUGAAUUUUAAAAUAUCAGUUCAUGACUACUUGGGAAAGAAUAAUAGUCUGGCUCUUCACCAGGAUUAGUCUGAGAAGCACUGGGCUAAAUCUGAUCAAUAGUAAAGUGUAUUGUUUUUCUACUACCUCGAAGCAUCAAGAUUAUAAUGAAGUUGCUUAAUUAUAUCCCCAAAGGAUCUUAUAUUUGAUUAACAGAUUUCUUCCUUUCUUUAAGAUAAUUGUUAAAUAUUUAUGUGAGAACAUUCUGCAUGCAAGAAGUCAUAUUUAAACACUAAAUGGAAUGUCAAUAGAACUCCAUUUAUAAAACUCUAAUUUUAUUUUACUUUAAACCCAAUUUCUCCUUGCUGUUACUGCUUAACUGCUAGAGUACAUAGGAUUUGUAUGUGGUGAUCUCUAAAAAUUUAUUACAAAACUUAAGAAAUACUAACUUAUGAAUUCAAUAUAUGAUUUCUCCUGAAAAUCUUGAAUUUCUGCACUUAGAAAUUAUACAUGUAUGGUCUUGGAUAAAGACCAAAAAAUUGAAAGAUCUCUUCAUAAACUGGAAUAAGGAAAUAAUUUAUUGACCGUUAUGUUUACAAAGUAUCUUAUUUUAGCAACCACUUGUCUGUUUUCCAAUUCUUACAAGUGAAAAUUAUUCCUGAUAGCUGAUUCUUACAGCUAAGGGUAAGAGAUAUGCAAACAAGACUGCUUUUAAUUUUGGAAAGCAAGCCAGACGAAAUUUAAACAUAGACAUCAAUAGAGAAAAGUGUUCUCUAAUUUGUCACUAAGUCCUUGCUCUUAUAUUAAAACCAGCAAUUCGUGAAACCCUCACAAAGAGUCAUUGUUUGCUGUGCGUGUGGCAGGCUGGUAAUUGCUUUAUAAAAUGUAUUAUUAAAUUGCUGUUACUGCCAUCUAGUGGGAAAAAAUAAUCCAUGUCACCAUGUCAAGGAUUGUAUCCAAAGCCCUAAAGUUCUAGGACUAAAGGGAAAACCACCUUGUGUGCGUAUUGCAGGAAGUAAAACAGCAAACAAAGGUAUGCCCUGGAACAUAAUAGAUAUCUAGUCCCUGAAUGAGUUAAAGAGGUCUGUGGGGAGACAAAAGGGUGUGAAGGGGUGUGUGCAUUUAGGAUUCAUUUUGUGUAGAACCAAGUAACACAUAAAAUGUGAUGUCCCACUGAAUAUAGCGAGGUUACAGAACAUUCUUAUUACUGUAUACUUAUUUUUUUUUACCUGUUGGAAUGUAGAUUAAGUGGUUGGCAUAUGCUUUGUCUUAAAAAUUAAGAUACCUUAGAUCAGUUCUUCUCAAACUGUAAGGGACAUAGGAAUCCAUCACCUAGAAAUAUCAUUGUAAUGCAGAUUCAGACUCAAUACCACAUUGCCUGAGGUUUGGCACUUCUAAGGGCUCUCAAGUGAUGUCCAUGUUGCUCUUUGUGAUGAGGCCGUACUUUGAGCAGUUAUAUCCUUUCAGUAGGUUAUCAUGGGGAAGGUGUCCAGAAAUGAAGCAGACCCCCCACAAAGUACACUUCACUGUAUCUCAUCUUGUUGUAAUCUAGUAGAGUAGUUCUUUCAAUGGCCUGUAGAGUCCAACUGCCAAAUUUGUUUCUUGACUCUGUUGCUUACUAUGUGGGUAACCUUGGGCAAGAUACGUAGCUAACAUCUCUAAGCCUCAAUUUCAUAAUCGGUAAAAUAAAAUAGUAGUCAUACCAGCAUCCCAUGGUUUUUGUGGGGAAUAAAUGCACUAAAAAAUCUCAUAAGGAGCCAUAGGAAAUUCCCUUUUUAGAGAUUAAAAAUAAGCAUCCACAAUUUUAUAUAGUUAAAACUAACUGUUUAAAUUAUGUAGCAUAAUGUCUAACACACAUAGUGGCUGAUAAAUGUUAGUAUCACCAACAUGUGUCACAGAGUAAAUUUUUGGACAUAUGAGUAUACUCACACUCUUGAAAGUUGUAUUCAAAGAAGAGAGAAUUUGAAAUUUCUAUAAAAAAAGCUUGAUGUAAACAUGUGAGAGAUGUUGCCUUGAGGUUUCACUGAAAGAUAAAAUGGCUAAGAAAUUUGUGAAUUACCUUGUAAACAAAUCCAGUUAGGUGUGGGAAAUAAAAAGAACCAUAUUCAAUAAGAAAUAUUGGGAUUAUUUACUUUUGCCUUUUUGUACUACCUGGAACCUAGUCUGGAAUGGAAGUGGAAUGCAUUUAUUUUUUUUUUAAUGUUUUCAACAUUUAUUUAGUUUUGAGAGAGAGAGAGAGAGAGAGAGAGACAAUGCGAGCAGGGGAGGGGCAGAGAGAGAGGGAGACACAGAAUCCGAGGCAGCUUCCAGGCUCUGAGCUGUCAGCACAGAGCCACCGCAGGGUUCAAACUCACGAACCGUGAAAUCAGCCGAAGUUGGACACUGAACCGACUGAGCCACCCAGGCACCCCAGAAUGCAUUAAUUUUUUCGUGCAGUUUUAAGUUCAGAGAAAAAUUGAAAAGAAGGUAUGGAGAUUUCCUGUAUAUCCUACCCCCACACAAGUGUAGAAGCUUCCGUUUCUAAAGUCCCCACCAGAGUGGUACAUUUGUUACAGCUAAUAAACCUGUGUUGACACAUCAUUAUAAGUCAAAAUCCAUAGUUUACAUUAGAGCUUACUCUUUAUUGUGUUCUAUAGAUUUGGACAAAUGUAUAAUGACAUGUAUUUACCAUUAGAGUAUCAGACGGAGUAAUUUCACAGCCCUAAACCUCCUGUGUGCUCUGCCUUUCAUCCCCCUCCUCUCUAUUAACCCCUGAUCUUUUGACUGUUUCCAUAGUUCUGCCUUUUUUGGAAUGUCAUAUAGUUGGAGUCAUGCAGUAUAUGGCCCUUUCAGAUUGGCUUCUUUCACACAGCAAUAUACAUUUAUUGUCUUUUUAUGGCUUGAUAGCUCAUUUCUUUUUAGUGUUGAAUAAUAUUCCAUUGUCUGGAUGUACCACAGUUUAUUGAUCUGGGAAAUGUAUUUUUAUUCAGCACCAAAUUCAUAUCACGCAGCAGCACAUAUAAAGUGUAAGGACAUAAAAGGGCAUAGAUUCUGGAUAAAUUUAAUAUUAUUAUAAAUCUGUUGUAGGAAAAUAGGCCAUCAGAUAUAUGAGCUGUCAUGUCUUUCUUAUGCUAUAUUUUACAUGAUUUAAUAAGCUAUGUUACAUUUCUUUGUUGUAUGCUUAAUUAUAAAAAUGUGUGAUAAAUUAUUCAUAUUUACAUAGUUUUGCUUCAAAAAAUAAGAUUUUAGCAUUGUAAUUGAUGAAAUGAUGACAACUUUCAUCCAUUUAGGUGAAGUCAUUUCUAGUUAAUUUUUUUAAUUUCUGUUUUCUUUUGAGUAAAGUUAGUACCUUUGCUUAUAUGAAUAGAUAUUUUAAAUUUUGUCCCUCGGUUUUGUUUUUUUUUAAGUUUAUUUAUUUUGAGAGAGAGAGAGAGGAGGAGGAGAGUGUAUACACAUGAGCAGGGGAGGGACAGAGAGAGGGAGAGAGAGAAUCUCAAGCAAGAUUCACACUGUCAACAGAGCUUGACUCAGGUUCAAAGUUAUGAACCAUGAGAUCAUGACGUGAGCUGAAAUUAAGAGUCAGAUGCUUAACCAACUGAGCCACUCAGGCACCCCUGACUCUCAGGUUUUAAGCUUUGCCUAAGUGUACUUAUUUUUGCUUUUAUAAAGUAUUGUUGGUGAACUGGAGAGAAGUAUGUAAAGAAUUACAAAAAUCUAAAAUUUUAAAUUAUGGGUUACAGUCAGGGUAAGAUGCUAUUAAUGUAAAUUUAUGUUAAUGAGUAUUUAUGCAUGCUUCAAGUGAGACAUAACAUAUUUUAACUCUGAAAAUUCUUUCUCUAAAAUUUGAGAAUUUGAAUUUUUUCCAACCAUUUCAUGUACAUAAAUGGUGAGUUAAAAACUAGUUUUAUAAUAAAAGUAAUUUUUAUUACCAUGUACUUUAAUGACUCAUGUUCUAAGUUGCAAGGAUAAUGGCAAGAAAAAUGUAAUCUAUCCCACAUGGACAGCCUAAUGCAGUUAAAUUAUUAAACCAUAUUUACUGGAUGAUGUAACUCAAGCUGAUAUUAUAUAAAGGGAUCAAGGCUUACUGAAUUCUAUUCCCUAAAGAUGCAAUACAUGGGAUCUGUAUUGGAUACAUAUUCAGAUACAUAAUAUUCUGGAUGCAUAAAUAAGAAUUGGAAAUAGGGACUUGAACAGAGAGUUAUUUACCUAAGUUUAUAGCAGUAUUAUUUGUGAAAACCAUUAUUGUGUUGAAAGAUUCAAAUGUUCAAUGAUGCAUGAAUGAAAAAAAACAAAUGUGGCAUAUACAUAUGCUAGAAUAUUAUUCAGCCUUAAAAGGAAUGGAAUUCUGAUACAUAGUAUAGCAUGGAUGAUCCUUGAAGACAUUAUGUUGAGUGAAAUAAACCAGAUAUACAAGAAUAGAUACUGUAUGUUUCCAAUUAUAUAAGGUAAGGAGAAUAGUCAAAUCCAUAAAGACAGGAAGUAGAACAGUGGUUACCGGGGGCCCGGGGAAGGGUGAGAGGGGGAGUUACUGUUUAAUGUGUACAGAUUUUCAGCUUGGGAUGAUGAAGGAAUUCUGGAGAUAUAUGGUGGUGAUGGUUGCACUACAGUGUAAAUGUGCCUAAUGCCACUGAACUAUAGUUAAAUGGUUAAACUGAUAAAUUCUAUGAUAUUAUGUAUAUUUUAGCAUAUUAAUAACAUUCUAAAAAAGACUACCAAAGUCCCAGGUAUAAUACAACACAGAGGUGUUUUUUAGGAACCACACAAUUCAUCAAAAAAACAAAACAAAACAAAAUUAGUCUAGUCUUAUACCUGUACUCCCAAAUUUGAGUAUGAAUUUAUGUUUGCCACAUGUUAAGAUAGAUAAAGGAAAAAAAAAAAAAGAAAGUGAAGGUACUGUAAGCUUUAUCUACAAAGUUCAAUACCAGUCUUCUAUGAUAAAGAGUAAGAGUGAAUAUGAUCACACACAAAGAAUGUAGAAAGUAAGGCAGGAAAGCACUUACCUGAAUCCCCUUGGGCAACAUUAAUUAGCACUCAGUGUAUCUCAGCUUCCUCUUUAUAAGAUUGGACACUAUGGAAAUUACAGGAGAAUUAAAGACACCCAUCAUCAUCUCAGAGACAUAGCAAGUUCUGAAUGAUGAAUGUUUAUAAUUGUUCUUUCCCUGCUGUUGUAAUUGUUCCUGCUGGAGCUUUCAAGAUAUAGAAAUAUAAAUUUGGCAUAAAUAAUAAGAAAUUCAGCUCAGUACUGUUCCAUAAAUAUAUGGAGUAUAGAGUCACAAGAAUGUGCUUUAGGACAAAAAUACAAAUAUGUUAUAAAAGAUUAAACACAAGUAUGAAAGCCAGAAGGUCACUCCUACCUUUUACACUCCAUCCCUACUAUCGGAGAGAUAGAAUGAAUAAUAAUAUCACCAAUUAUUCCAUUAUGGCAUUUCCAGCUUACUAUGUAAUUUCACAUGUGACUUCAUUUCACCAUCACAUCAACCCUUCAAAAUCUCUCUGACCAAAUGUCACUUUACCUUAUUUUUAAAGAGGGCUUCAUGCCCAACAUAGAAUCCAACAUGGGGCUUAAGCUCACGACCCUGAGACCAAGACCAGAACUGAGAUCAAAAGUCAGACACUUAACUGACUGAGAUAUCCAGGCACCCGGGCAAAAUGUUAUUUUAAAAAUUCAUUAAAAAAUAGGGGCACCUGGGUGGCUCAGUCAGUUAAGCAUCAGACUCUUGAUUUCGGCUCAGGUCAUGAUCUCAUGGUCGUGGGAUCAAGCCCCACAUCAGACUCCUGCUGAGCGUGGAGCCUGCUUAAGAUUCUCUCUCCCUCUGCCCCUCUCUUCUACUCACACUCUUUCUCUCUCAAAUGAAUGAAUGAAUAAAUAAAUAAAUAAAUAGUAAAAAACAAUAAAAAAAUAACAAUAAAAAUUCCCAAAAUAAAGCAGAGAUACGAUUGGCAAAGUCAUAAGGUUAGUAAGUGACACAGUGAGGACUAAACAUCAGGACUUCUCAUUCCAAGUCCAACAUCUUCUUCAUGCCCUGCUGCAUAUUUACAGUAGGUAUGGACCAAGUAUUGGAAAUCUUGUGGUUUCAUCAUAUUGAAUUCUUAGUCCACGAGUUUAUUGAAGGUAAAAAUGGUGACAAAGAAUACAUUAAUUCACAACUUAAAGUUUCUUUCAAUAGAAAUUCUUUUUUUUUUAAGUUUAUUUAUUUUGAGAGAGAGGGCACAAGUUGGGGAGGAACAGAGAGAGAGGGACAGAGAGAGAAUCCCAAGCACGUUCUGCACAGCACAGAGAUUGAUGUGGGGCUCAAAUUCACCAACUGUGAGAUCAUGAUCUGAGCCAAAAUCAAGAGUCAGAUGCUCAACAGACUGAGCCACCCAGGCACCCCUCGACAGAAAUUCUUGUACAUAGGUGCUCCAAUCAAUGGAAAGUCAUACUUCUCAGUAGCAGCUUCAGUUUUGACAAUCCUAAGGGGCAGAGACUUAAAAUUUCAGCAGAGUUUAGAUAAAAUAAUUUUUAGCCCUAAAUUUUGAAGUGCCAGAUUUGAAGCUGGUAGCAAGAGUUGAAUUGCAAAUCUCUCACAAUGCCACCAUGGAAAGACAUAAUACACACAAUUUUGAAUAGCUCCUUUAAAAAUUUUUUUGCUAUGCAUAUAUAUUUUUCCACAUACAAAUUUGUCUAAGCAGUAUAAUCAUUGUCUGCCUUCUUAUUUUGGAUUGCUCUUUCAUUUCUAUUCCCCAAGGUUUUGCUUUAUGGACGUGCAGGCAGAUUUUUACCAUCACAGCUCCAUCUAGAAUUGUUCAUAUAUGAUCAGUGCUCUGAAACUCUGGUUAUCAGCAUUAUUUUACUUUAGAAAACAGACUGGUUUGGUUUUAUGUGGGAACGUUUUAUAACUGGAUUGCUGUGCUGAUGCAGUAUGUUGGUGAGCAAUGGUUUGAAGACCACAUUUAUUGUAUAAACGUUUAUGUAUUUUGUUUUUGUACUUCUUUGUAAGAUUAGAACUUUUUUCAGUAUGGGUGUAGAGAGGGACUGUCAUUUGUUAUGUUAAUUGUUCCAUACCACCUUAAAGUUUAUUAUUUCUCCAAAGGAAAUGGAAACUUUGUUCUUUAAAAAGACCUGUGUAAAACCCAAAUGACUUCCCCUGCGUUUAGAAUACUCCAUUUUCUAGAUAGAUGAUAUAAAAAACGUGCAUGUGUACAGCCAAUCCUGUAUUAGGCAACAACUCCAGGGACCAGCAAAAUUGGCUGCCUGAGAAAGAUGUAUAGUUAAAGAUUGAGCAAAAGUGUCCUUGAAAUUUAGAAUACAUUUAAAGCAGCAUAUAAAUCAUCAAUGAUCCGUGUAGCUGAUGACAGGAAGAAGACAAAAUUUAAAAUUAACCUGAAAAAUGGACUUUAGGUAAGAUCCUAAAGAAAAAAACAUAGAAGCAAAGCUUAUUGCUUCAGAUUACUGAUGUAAAAUUCUGCUAGAUAGUGUGCUAAUUAUAUGACACCAAAAUAAUAGCAAGAGUUAAUGAAAAUGUUGCUCAAUAAAUUGUUCAAUAUUGUAUCUGUUUUAUGAAUGGUAAAUGUUUAUGGUGAAAAUGGAAAAUGCAGCUGAACAAGAAAUAGGGAAAUUAUUCAUAAUCACUGCUUUGAAUGUAAGCUAUACUCAUUUUGGUAUACAAUGUUUCAUACAUUUUUCUAUGCAUAUAUACAUCUUUACAUACAUCAGUUGGUCCAUAUUGUAUGCAUUCUUUUAUAAUCAGCAUUUUUAAUGUAUACUAGAGAUAACUUUUGAUAUCUAUAGUUUUUGAGAAUUUUGAGUAUUUUUUAAUAAGCAACAUAAUUAAUACUUAAGAAUGUAGCCCCUCCCUGUUGCUUUUCACAACAUAUCUAUUUGGAAAAGAUAGGAAAGUACAUUCUGACAUAGUGUUUUCCUGGUAAUCCCACACACGUUCCUUGUAGCCCAGGGGAUUGUGGGUGUAACCUUCCAGCAUGGCAUCUGUGUUUAAGCUGUAGGUCCUGAGCACAUUUUAAAAUCAUUGUGGAUAGUGGAGAUUGGGCAUGUUGGGGAGCUGAGACCAGCCCACUUGAAGGACAUGUAGAAUAUAGGGAUAAGCCUGCUUCAAAGGGACGUGAAGAGGAACUAGAAAGUACUUUGAUAUUAGGGAGGAUGACCUCAGGCAGAGGUGUCAAAAAUUGGAGAAGCAUGAAUUGUCACAGCGUGCAGUUCAUCUGUCUGUAAACUCGAUGACAACUAAGGUCCAGGAUCUAAGAGACUAUAAAAUAGAUAUGAGCCGUAAUAACAGAUUUUAAAAGUCCUUCACAUCUAUUAAUUCUAUUCAUAGUUACUGAGCAUGGGAUGACUAUACACUAUCUCUAGCUUCAAGCAGUUUAUAAUCUAUACAGUGUAAUAAGACAUGAUUGUCCAGUGAGGUAGUACAAGGCAGUAUAUAUGCCAUGUGAUCUAGGAGUACGUGCUAUAGGAAUUCAUGUAAUGACAGGUUACUUCUGACUUUGGCAAUCUAGAAAUUUAUGAUGACAAUAGCAACUGAUAUUGACAAGUAUUUUAUAAGCUUCAUUGAAGCUUAGCCUCACAGCAACAGUAUGAGAUAAGCUGUUAUUAUCAGGAAGACAGUGUGUAUGGUGGUUACAGUCUCGGAGCCAGAAUGUCUGGGAUUGUAUCCCAGCCACUUACUAUUGUGGCUUUUGGCAAUUUAUUUAACUCUCUGUGUUUCAGUUUUCUCAUCCAUAGGAAAGAAGUAAUGAUAGGAUCUACCUCAUAGAGUUGUAAAGACUAUUUUAAUAGGCGUAAAGUAUUUUGAAUGAACCCUACAAAUGUCAGUUAUUAUUAGUUUCAUUUUUUUGUGCCAAAGAAUAAGGUUUAGACAAUUUAGGUAAUAUACCCAAGUUAUGCAAGCUGUAAAUGGUGGAACCAGGAGUCCAGUCCAGCUUUGUUCUCUCCUGAAUCUGCAUUCUUAAUUUAACCACUUUGAUGCUUCAAACUUUAAGCAUGAAACAAAUGAGUCAAAGACAAGGAUUUUGAUCACGAAUAACUAGAAUCAUUACAAAAAUAAGGUAGAGACUAUGAAAGGGUUGGUUUUUUGUUUUUUUCUGCGGAUUUUUUUGGUUGCUAUUGUUUUUGGAAGGAAGAACAGUUCAAUUUAAAAUGUCUUGAAAUGGAACUGGUGCCAAGGCAUUCAGGGCAAAAUAUGUAGCUGUUAGCUAGAAAUCCAGGACUGGAAUUUAGGAAAGAGUAGGAGUGGAGAUUCAGGAGAUACACCUGUGUAAACUCAGCAAUGAAGGCCGUGAGAGUAGAUAAGAUUGGCAGGGAGAGGAGAUAAGAUAAUUUUUAAAGCAAAAAAUAAUAAUAAUAAAAAGAAGGCCAAAGUCAGAAGUCAUUGUCUUAUUAACCAUGGCAAAGAGAAACUAUGAAAAGGAUUCAAAGGUAAAGUUGACAGAGUCCAACUGGAGACGAUGUCACCCUGUUAGCAUGGGAGGAGCAAGCCCAGGCAUGUCAGUGAGGAUAGAGUGGAACCUCAUCACAACCAUGUGUGUAGAGAGAAAAGGCAGUUCCAAUCUGUUGGCCUGGAAAUUGCUCAUGAGGUACAGGCCUCAGGGAUUUUGAUGAGUCUGGCAAUGUUUUUGUUUUGUUUUUGUGUUUUUUUUUCUUUUGGUGGGGGGAGAUGGGAGUAGGUAGAAGUAGGGUUGAGAGAGUGCUACUUUUAGCACAACUCAAAUAUACCAAAGUUCCACUUAUUUGGGUCCGUCCCAGGCCUGUAAUGUAUUUUACUGUGACGAACUUGAGCUAUGUCAGAGUCAUCUGAAAUUGUGGUGGGAUCAAUAGUUUCAUCAGGUCUUUUAGAUGGAAAAGUGCUGUCCUAGAGAUAACCACAUUCACUCUCUUUCUGACCACACUUUCUUAGAAAUACUAGAGAUCUGGAACCACAGGAACAUGAACAAAGAGCUUUUUAAUCCACACACUUUUACAAUCCUAGACCCAUGUGACUGUUCAAAUUUAAAUUGAUUAAAAUUAAAUAAAAUGUAAAAUUCAGCUUCUCAAUUGUAUUCUCCAUAUCUCAGGUGUUCAAAAGACACCUGGGGCUUUUGACUAUCAUAUUGGGUGUUAAAAAACUGUAGAAUAUUUUCAUCAUCCCAGAGAGUUCUAUUGGACA